AUUGGUUGCGGCACAGACCAUACAUAGACAUCGAGUGACCAAUGGCGAGAGAAAUGCCCUUCUAUCCCGUCGCAAUCGGGUUUUUGAAGCAAACAUUGGAGGAAGGGCUAGAGGGUGUGCGGAUGGAAAAUGCAACGAUUCGAACGGACUGACUCAACCGAGUGUUGUUUGCAACGAUGGUGUCACCCAACAAACUCCAAUUCAAGCACCUAAUAAUUGUAAUGGCACACAAACACAACCGUCUGUAGCUGACGGUACCUCUUCAAUGCCUCCAUAUAGUGCACAAGAUCAUACAUCAGACUCUAUGGUCGAGGAUGACUAUGACGAAGAUGUCAUAUUUGAGGAGGACGAGGAAGAGGAUGAGGCAUACUUUUUCGCCGGUCAAGAAGACGAGGAUGAGGGAACCGAUGUCGACACAUAUGAGCAAGAGAAUCAUGAGCCUGAUGUCCCAGAUCUAUAUGACCGGGU